rnacentral:rRNA from 1 species
AGGGUUCGAUUCUGGCUCAGAGUGAACGCUAGCGGCGUGGAUUAGGCAUGCAAGUUGAGCGCGAAAGCAUGAUGAAGGAUCCUUCGGGUGACUGAUUCGGCGAGUAGAGCAGCGCAAGGGUGAGUAAUACAUGGCUAACAUACCCCAUACAUGAGAAUAACUAUUAGAAAUGAUAGCUAAUGCUCAAUAGUUUCUUAAGGCCGCAUGGUCUAAAGAGUAAAGGUAGGGAUCCUUCGGGACCUUCUGGUUUGGGAGUGGGUCAUGGGCUAUCAGCUAGUUGGUGAGGUAAAGGCUCACCAAGGCUAAGACGGCUAGGCGAUCUGAGAGGAUGAUCGCCCACAUCGGGACUGAGACACUGCCCGGACUCCUACGGGAGGCUGCAGUCGAGAAUCUUCCGCAAUGGGCGCAAGCCUGACGGAGCGACGCCGCGUGAGGGACGAAGGCUUUAGGGUCGUAAACCUCUUUCGCUUGUUAAGAAAAGUGUAUGUUAAUAGCAUGCACCCUGACAAAGGCAAGUAAAGAAGCACCGGCUAAAUCCGUGCCAGCC